UACGGUAGGGGGCAAGCGUUGUCCGGAAUUAUUGGGCGUAAAGCGCGCGCAGGCGGUUAUUUAAGUCUGGUGUUUAAUCCUGGGGCUCAACCCCGGGUCGCACCGGAAACUGGGUAACUUGAGUACAGAAGAGGAGAGUGGAAUUCCACGUGUAGCGGUGAAAUGCGUAGAUAUGAUGGAGGAACACCAGUGGCGAAGCGACUCUCUGGGCUGUAACUGACGCUGAGACACGAAAGCGUGGGGAGC
rnacentral:rRNA from 1 species